GCGGGCGUGGUGGAACGGUAGACACACGGGACUUAAAAUCCCCUGGGCUUUGCCCGUGCGGGUUCGACUCCCGCCGCCCGCA
rnacentral:tRNA from 1 species